CUUCUUGGCGAAGAAUAAAGCUGUUGAGUUGCAGAGACAGUUCCGACCAGUCUCGGUGUAAGUGAGAAAAGGUCUACGGAAACAAAAUCUUUCAGUCUGGAAAUUUGUCAGUGUUGGUGCAGUCUACGUUUGCGACCAGUCUGGAGACGAAGCUAAUUUGAUUAAUCAGAUGGUGUCCGAUCGGAGUAAAACCGGUGGCUACGGAUAUAGGACAUCUAGGGCUACAUUCUUACUGGAGGGAUUGAAAAGUUAACGAUUUUCGGAGUUGCUGUGAUAGAGCCAUCAAGGGCUAUUCUGUGCUUCUCAGGUUCUUUAGAACCCGUGGCAAAGAUGAGACUGACGAGCAGGAGUGAUUGCUAUUGGGCUGGUGCUUUGGGAAUUUUAUCUCUUUAAUUUUUCAGACUUGCGGUUUUUAUGAUUUUGUCGAUAUUUUCAGGUUUUAUUAUAUUAUCUGGAUUUACGACUUUGGAGUUGACUUUAGAGAAGUAAUAAAUGGAGAUUUCAGACUUUUUAUUUAUUUAUUUUAUUUCGAAAAAUACGGGUGUUACAUACACACACACAUCUUAAGCAAAAAAAAAAAAAAACACACACACACACGUCAACAUAAAUAACCACCAAAUUUCGCAGGCACACCACUAGUUAGUUAUGUUUAGACUUAGAAUGAAUGUGUUAACUUGCGUGUAUAAUUUGAUUUGUGAUCUCAUAAUCUAAUCUUCACAUAAUUAUUUCCUACAUGUUUGUACUAUAAUUCGUAAAAAUAUAUAUUUUAUUUUGUUAUAGCAAAUGUGCUCAUAAAAUAUAAGACUAAGCCAUUAAACUAAUAUAAAUGAUUCUACCACUGGUCUUUUUCACUUUGGUGAAAGAUGCGAAAGAUUGAAUCUAACAAAACAUCACAGGUUAAAGCAUAUUUUAACAUAGACUCAACACAAUAACUAAACUAGAACAUCAAGUUGAAAUGUAUCACAAGUUAAAAAACACCAGAUAGCUUCUUCAUCUUCUUCCAUCAGUCAUCGUCAGAGAAGGUUAUCCUCUUACC